AAACUGAAAGACACAUGUUCAAGCAAUACUUCUGAAAAUGGUUCUUCCCCUGUACCAAUACAAGCAUGGUUCUUUUUCCUAAGUUAUGCCUUGAGUUUUCAACAGACUCAGAGAAAAUACUCUUAGCUUCUCAGGAUAACUGCAAUUAACAAAAUGAGAUUUCUGUUGCAUAUCCUCCACCGAUGUUUUACUUUGCAACCUGUUUUUAUUCCUUCUCUUAUUACCUGAAAAUAGCAAAGCUAGUGAAACCGUAUCUAUACCACCUGACCUUGUUUUCCAUCGCUUUUAAGCUACAGGUUUAUUAGUCAUCUGCUAUAAGACUAUCCAAACAAGCAACAUAUGUAUGCCUCAGUUUUCCUCCGCAUAAAAACUAAUGAAUGAACAGUAGUUCAACAGUAGUUCAGCCUAUUCUGUGGAAAUAGGUAGCACAUUGACCAAGGGAUGAAUAUGUUAGGAUAUUCUGUCCUAUUCUAUAAAAUCGAUUCUAACAGGACUUUUAUACAUUUGCAAAAGUUAUUCCCUGGAAUAUUUUCUUGUAUUUUACAGCAUCUGUGGAAACUCUGAAGUCAAAAGCAGUACCUGAAAAGAAGGAAGAAAAAGCAAUGAAGGCAGGAGAGCAAGAUAAACCAAAGAUGAAACAAGCAAAUCCUGGAAAAGACAAAGAAUUGAAAUCUCCAGCUGCUACAAAAGAUAAAGAACACACUAAAGAAAAGGAAGGAAAGAAUCCUGCAGCUUUAAAAGAUAAAGAGUCUCUGAAAGGAAAAAAUCCCAAGAAUCCAGAGGGGUCAAAGGAUAAAGGUACUUCAGAAAAAACUCAUGAACACAAACCUGCAAAUAUUAAACAUGAAAAAGCUAUCUCUCAGAUGAAGCCAGAGGAGAAAAUUAAACAACCAAAGACAGCUCCCACUGAGAAGUCAGGUAGGAACAAGUCAUUCUUUCCUGAUUUAUGGGGGGGUGAGGGGGGUUUAAACACUGUUCAGAUUUUUCUGAUGUAG
rnacentral:lncRNA from 1 species